CGGAAGUGCCUUUCUGAAUUGGUUUGGUUAAUGCCUUGAGAACAUCAAUCAUCCCAGCUCAGAAGGCACUUACCGCAUUCCAACACCCUAUGGCCAGCUAUUUCAUCCGUGGAUCGAG
rnacentral:sRNA from 1 species